AUUUUCAACCAGCAAAUUUGCGCAUGUGUUCGUGGCACCGCUCGGCGAGAGCUCAAGUAACAGCACCAUGUUCAACGGCUGCUCCUCGAAAAUUAAACAAGUUUUUGCUAGCUUCAGGGAGAGAAAAUUGUGAUAUACAGCGAUCUUUCUAAUGCUAAAGAAGCAGGAAACGGAGCUGAUUCGGAGAUUCAAGAGCAGAAACAAACUUCAACGUAUCCAUCGAGCUGGUUGUUGAAGCAUUUAAGGCUUGAUCGGGAUUAUUAACAUCAACUGCAAAAGAUGAACCAAACUAUUAGGCAUAACGGAUCAUCCACGAUAAGUUCCGUUUUUUCCAGCCAAAUCAGGAUCAGAAUGCUGUUCGCCAAGAAAUCAUUCAAUGACGGCAGCUCCUUGCACAUGCUAGUGAGUAAAGUACAGAGGAAACGAAACGAUGGCGUGCACUUUUCUUCAUAUAUUAUACAUUAAAUACAGCUGGGACAAAUAAACAUGUUUCUCCUUGUU